UAAGUAAGCUUUGAUCCAGAGAUUUCCGAAUGGGGAAACCCAGCAUGAGUUAUGUCAUGUUAUCGAUAUGUGAAUACAUAGCAUAUCAGAAGGCACACCCGGAGAACUGAAACAUCUUAGUACCCGGAGGAAGAGAAAGAAAAUUCGAUUCCCUUAGUAGCGGCGAGCGAAACGGGAAGAGCCCAAACCAACAAGCUUGCUUGUUGGGGUUGUAGGACACUCUAUACGGAGUUACAAAGGACGACAUUAGACGAAUCAUCUGGAAAGAUGAAUCAAAGAAGGUAAUAAUCCUGUAGUCGAAAAUGUUGUCUCUCUUGAGUGGAUCCUGAGUACGACGGAGCACGUGAAAUUCCGUCGGA
rnacentral:rRNA from 1 species